GGUGCACUAAACAAUAGUUGAGAAAGUGAGAAAACAAGAGAGGAUUCGAGUUACAGCUCUUAUAAUACUCCUCUUCUUUGUCCUUCUACUCAUCAAAGACGCAGAGUGGCUGUCUCUAGCAAUGUGCUGGUGAAUGGAACUUGUUGAACAGAGAGAGAUUCUCAGGUGUCCGGGGAUGACCUCAGACUCACUACACAACCAAGCACAGCCCUGUACUUCUGGUCGACCUGCCUCUACUUCCUGAGUGCCGGGAUUACAGGUGUGUGCCUACAUUCUUAUGUGGUACUGCAGAAUCAAACUAGGCCUUUAUAUAUCCUUAUGCAAAGCACUGAGAUAUACACCCAACCCUAUUAAAAAACUUGUUUUAAAGCUUUUACCUUAUUUUUACAUGUGAGCACUCUGCACGUACACCUGCAUGCCAGAAGAGGGCAUCAGAUUCCUUUACAGAUGGUUGUGAGCCACAAAGUGGUUGCUGGGAACUGAACUCAGGACUUCUGGAAAAGCAGCUGAGCCAUCUCUCCACAGCCCCUCCCCUACCAUCCAAUUUAAAUAUUUUUUUUUCUUUUCUUUUUUUCAGAGCUGGGGACCGAACCCAGGGCCUUGCCAAUUUAAAUAUUUUUAAGAUCAAUAUUUUUUGAGAUCGGGUCUCAUCCGGUCCAGGUUUGCUUUAAUUUUGCAGUAAUUCUCUUGCCUCAGCCUCCCAAGUGUUAGGAUUAUAGGCAUGAGCUAUUACACUCAGUGUUUGAAUUAGAAUUUUAAAUCUGUAAAUUUAAGCAUUAAGGAUUCUAUUUAUCUACAGGAUUCCUGACAUGAAUUUCCCUACCAUUCAGCUUGUUUCCUUUGCUCUGCCAACUCAUGGAGCCGCCGAAGGGCUUUUUCUUGCUUCUUCUCAUCUUUGCGGGAUCUUGAAGAGACAUUUCGGGCAAACUCUCUUUGCUUGAGAUCUUUUAAUCUCUGAGUUAGUAGAAAGAAAGAAACAGAAGGUGAGCAAUUUUAGUUAACACACAGUUGUGAAGGCAAAGCCUUUACAAUAUUUCCCUGAACAAUGUCACAGCACUAGCACGGAGUACACUAUUUAUAGUACUCAGAAACACAAUGGCUUAUUACUUUGAGCAUGACACUUGGAUUAUGGGCAUUUGUAAUUAGGGCAGCAAGUCAUUUGCCUUAUUGUACAAAACAAAAUGAUUUCAGAAGCAACACGCAAAUUUUAGACUAUUGGGAAGAAAGAAAAGAGACCAAUCACCUGCUCUUCCAGGAUGCAGAACCAGACAAACAAAUGUGAGAGAAACCGUAGUAACGCAGGCCAAAGUGAGCAGAAAGGGCUUAGGCUGGUACAGAAAAGUACCCAAGGGGUAAGAUCUAUACAAAGCAAUGUACAGCUUACAUGGGAGGUUAACAGAAUCAGAGCAAACAGAAAUAUUUUCUUUCCCCACCAUAAAAAUAUGGGGGAGGGUUGUCUGGUUUUAGUGAUAACAGAGGUUUCUUGUAAUUAUUAAAUUCUAGAGAGGUCUUUCAACCCUGGCACGUUCAGAACUCAGCCUGACCACUUUCAUCCAGCCUGUCUGCUAAAAUGGAAAUUAUGUACCUUUUCACUCCUUCAUGGCCCUGAGAGGAACACCAGGGAAGAAGGAGAACAAAGGAAAGUUGAAGGUUCUGUUACUUAAAAUUAAAGUAACAGAAUGGGCCUUUUGUUUUCAGAAGCUACUGUGUAAUUUUCCUCAAAACAAAAGAAAACAAAAACCAAAGAAGUGUCGUAAGACAGGCUGGUGACAGAGUCCGACAUACCCAUCUGCAAUGAAGACGGUGCAACACACUCCAUAAUAUGAAAAGUGAAAGCAAGGCCUACCCAUCAGCCUAUGCUCUCCCAACAGCGUAGGAAAAGGGAGCUGACCCAAUAUAAAGUGGACAUUGCUUUAGAAAGGCAUGGUGUUCAACAGACAGAGGAAUUUUCUUACCUAAUAUUUAUGAAAUGUGUUUCAAAUCUUUUGGAAUUGGGAAGGGGAAGGGAAGAUAGACACAUACACACAAAAAAGAUAUAUAGCUAAAGACACUAUAGAAUAACUCACUCUUGUGAUCUGGGCUCCCAAAUUAGAAGGAUUUGCUCUCAAAACAUCAGCUGAAAACGUCACAUCACAAAGAGAAAAAAAGUAAAAAUAAAACAAGAGUGGAAGAGAAAAAAUAAGGCAAGCAUUACUACAUAAGCUCUCAGUGAAUCUACAAACGAUAUACUCAACAAUCAGGGACAAAAGCAUCCACUCAACAAGGGCUGGGGAGAAGCAAAGAGUCGGAAAACACAUGUACACAUACAUGCAUACGCACAUGCACACAGAGUAAUCACGUCUAGAUAAACGAAGUCACCCUUCUUCUGUAAUAAGUUCCAUUUCCUCAAGAGAAAUGGUCAGGGAACUUCAGAAAAGACUGCUACUAUCUAGAAGCAGGGAGUGCUGCAGACUCACUCACUCAUCUUUAGUUUAAUCAACAGCUAACAAGGCUGGUGCUGGUCUAAGUCCCAUAGAGAUUUAGAUUUUUAUAAACUCAAGCCUUUCCCCGCUCCUUGGUACUAAGCUUACUACUGAACCACCUAUAUCCCCAACCCUCCUUUGCUUUUAGAGAGAAGGCCUCACUGAGCUACCUGGACUCACCUUAGUCUGUGGCCCAGGCAGGCCUUGAACUCCUGCCACAGCCUUCCAAGGAGCUGGGAUCACACAUCUGCACCACCAGGCUCACUGAGGAUUAACUAGCUUAGAAAGAAUGAAUUCUAAUGUUUUUCUUUUGAGAGGAAAGGGACAAAAAAAGAUCCACUGUGACUAUUAUGCCACUUUUUUUAUGGAUAAAUCUUCUUUUUCCUUCCUAAACACUUAAUAGGUUCUCUUAUCAAAAUUUAAAUAGGAUGCAAUGUUUUUUCCAUGUCUCCCUAUACACCUCAUGAAGUUCUUCUAUGUGCAUCUUACUCAAAGCAGGCAUUUGUUGAACUAUAGGACAUUGUUCAAAAAAAAAAAUAAUUUUUAUCAAAGCCUGGAGCCUUCAGAUUGUGUCAGACAAGGAUUAAGUCUUCUUCCUCUUCUCCUUCCUCUUGCUUCUUUGAAACAAGGUCUCAUUGUAGCCCUUGACUGGCCUCUGCCUCCUGAGUACAGAUAUUAAAGGGGUGGCUGGCUCUAUUCAUUCUGGAAGACGAAGGAACAGGACUAAGUCCACAGCAUUCUCAACACAUUCUACCCAAAAGUCCUGCCAGAAGUACACAGAGAGACAGGAAACAGAAUGUUGUCAAGGAGACAAACCUCAAGCGUAAGCUCCUUCUAGGUAAGAGGCAUCCGAGUACUCUAUCAAGUACAGCAAACAUCCCUCACAAACUUCAGUCAGUCCUGGAGUCUCAGGGAGGCAGAAUGAGACCUUCCCAGGUCCAGGUCAGUCUUUGAGACAGCCUAUAGACCCCCCAAACCCAGCAGGCGCACAGCCGCCUUUCAGAUGGUGACAUCCUGACGGGAAUGGAGAAACACGCCUUUUCUUUACAAAGAACAGCUUAUUUGUGCAUUUAUUUAUUGUGCCUUUGUGUAAGCCUUGGCAGGGCCUGGCUCUCCCCUUCUCCCCCGGGAUCCCAGGGAAAGACUUGUCAUGAGGCUCAGUGAGCAGCAGACCCUCCCUCAUCUCCUGAGCCACCUUCUGGGCUCUAAAAAAGGUUAAGAUUCUAUUUUCCUUAUCUGACCCAACUUUCUUUCCCACUUGAGGUCAAAGAAUUCCCUUCACCAAGGCUCUGCUGUCUGUCCCUGCCCCUGACCCCUCCUAAGAACCCAGAAUAGCAUUCUCUGCAGUCAGCACCUUGCCCUAGUUCUCAUCUAUGACUGCCAGUUUCUGUUCUCAAAACAGCUGUUCCUGUCUUUCAGAAAGUGUAAAACUUCAGUCAGAAAGACCAGGACAAUCCACUAAUCACAGUCAACUGACCAGUACCUCACAGCCUCAGCUGUCCUCAUUAUAAAAUUAGAAUGAGGUAUUAAUAGGUUUAUGAGAUUAAAUGCCAAAAUGACCCUCUUUAAUAUUUCAACUCUAGGCCUUACUCAUGGGCAAGUGCUCUACAACUAAACUGUCUGCGGCCCUCCUUUAACUUUUAUUUAUAGAAAAGGCCCUUCCCUAUCACCAACCUGCCCAGGCUGCUCAGGUCGCAACUGUUCAUAUUACUUUUCUUUCUUUUCUUUUUCUUUUUUGGUUGUUCAAGACAGAGUUUCACUGUGUAGUCUUGGCUGUCCUGGACUCCCUGUAUGUAGACUAGGCUGGCCUCAAACACAGAGAUCUGCCUGCUUCUGCCCCCCUUGUGCUGGGAUUAAAGGUGUGCACCACCACCCAGUUACUAUUUUUAUUUAUUUAUUUAUUUAUUUCUAUUUUUAUUUUUAAAAUAAGCUUUAUUAAAUAAAAAACUUGCAAGCAAGCAAACGAACACACGCAAAGAUUAACUACUAUUUAAAGAAAAUCUCUUUUUAAAUAAAAACCCCUGCCCUGGCGAUGGUGGUGGUGGUGGUGUGGCACCUUUGGCACUCGGGCGGCAGCAGACGGCUGAGUCUGAGGCUAGUCUAGAGCACAUGCUGCCUGGUUGUUUUCUUUUUAAAGUCAGUGAAUUGAAGACAGACUAUACAUACAUUUUAUGCAUUUUGUGUUGCCCUGAGCAGAGUUGGAAACAGAACAGAACAUAGGGGUGGUUCAUGCUUCAGUCUCUUUUUGGAUAUAUAUGUGCUCUGACCUUCUUCAACCUGUAAACUCCUUCUCCUCUCAUAUCAACGAUCCUAUAUACCAAAAGUCCCACCUCUUUCCCCUCCUGUUUUAUGUUUCCCUUUCCUAUAGCACAGUGAUAUAUAACAGGACCACCUUCUGUCAAACUGAAGUAACCCCUCAAGAAUUGGGCCAGUGUGCCCAAUUCAAGAUCCAGGGUUUGAUGUUUCUGAAAAGACCAUCCAGGGUAUCACUCAACGGUGGCGGGAGAUAACGCAGAGCCCCACGUCUAACUGGACGGGACAGAGCAGGGGCAUCUCAGUUCAGAGAGGACAGUGCCUUUAUACUCCUCCCAACCAACGGGGAAUUCGGUCUAGUGGCCUUACGGGCUAGGUAAGCUAUGACUGAGAUCCAUGUGUAGCUCAGUCUGUCCUUGAACCCUGGCUUUCCUUUUGCAGGGUUGGACUUGUUAGGUAUGAACAAGCACCUGGUUCAAUGCUUUCCUCACAGCACUGCCACUUACAAGCUUUUAGUUGGGUUGCUUUAACCUUUCAGACUACAACAGAAUACAGGCUUCAUCGUAGAAUUACUAUCACAGUAUAUCUUAGAAUGUAUCACUGAGUAGUAAUACCACUGAGAUGAAUUUAAAUUUACAAAGAAAAAGAAGUUGAAACAGUAGAACAUGAACAUGGUAGGCACAUAAGAGAAUAUGUAGUUUACCUGCCAUACUAGUUCCUGACAAGUUUGUCAUCAACUACCUGUAAAAGCAGAUGGCUUUCCUAAGUAGACCCUUUUCCGGAGUUAAUUAGGCUGUGAUUACUGGACAAGUAACCUACUCUUAGUUGGUAAAAAGAUCAAAACAUGCUCAAGUUGUAGAGACUGACCAAAGACUCCAUUCUCUAUGAAAUAAAACAGUCCCAAAGAAAACGGCACCCACAGUGAUCGACCACAAACCCAGCACAGCUCACUCUGCACAGCUGUACACAGGCUCCAAGACUCGUUCUGCCCUUCACACUUUGUUCCCACAGCAUAACUACUUGAGAGGGGAACUGUGUUAAGUCAAUAUUUAUGAAGCUUUAGAAGUCAGAAAUACUUUAUGGUUUUCUAAGGACAAACACUGUAAACAAAACACAGACGUGGAAUAUGUUCACAGGUGUAUGAUCUAGAUAGUUCACUAUUUUUGUUUAAUUUCAGCCCUAGGAUUAUCUUCCCUCAUCCAACUGGUUAUGUCUAUUCUGAUCCCCUGACACACACACACACACACACACACACACACACACACACACCCCACAUAGAGAACUGAAUGACAGAAACAAACAAACAAAAAUAAAACAAAAAAGUCAGCAAACAGUGAAGCAUCAAGAGCAAAGUGGCCUCUGCAAACCCACUGUUUCUGAGAACACACUUUAAUUCAGAGAUCAGUUACUUUUUGAGUACUGAGAGAAAACCAAAUACUUCAGCUAUCUGGCAAUACUAAGUAUGAAAAGAACCUAGUAUGAGUAGGUAACAUCGUCAAGAUCCAGCCAGACAGUAGAGUGUUAGGGAAACCAUGCAUUAAAAGCCUCUACCCUAAUUCACUUAGUGAUAAAAUCACUACUGACUGUAAUGGGCAUGCUGUUUCCAAGUUCAGAAAAGUACUAUUCAUAGAUGAAAUAGAUACUGGUAUUAUUAAGACCAGGUUUUUUAGAACAUGUAAAAAGUGCAGAAGUUUUGAUAAAAAGUCAUUUUAGAAAAAGCAACAUUUUUUCUAGGAACUACCAGAAGCUGAUUUAGAAUGCCAAAUUAUAGCAACCAGAUCAGAUGACCACAACUGAGAUUGUAAGAAGUGAGCCCAACACGGGAGGGUUGGAGAGAGCUUCAGUGUGUCCAGUGUCAGUCCGAACUUGGGGACAUGGGAAGGAACAUGGAGUAGGUCUGAGUGACAACUCAAGUGUUUGAAGGAAUCUGGCAAGGAACUAACGCCUCACAGACGGUAAAAGAUGAUGUGGAGCACACUGCUGUUUGUGUGAGUGAGAGAAGCAACUACCAAGCUGUGACCAGGCUUGGUGAAGUAUAGUGCCAAUGUCAUCAGAUGGUCCAAGAUGAGUCAAAGGCUGACUUACUGAGCAGUUCUAGGUGUUUAAAGAGAUGGCUUCAAAGCAUGGUAGGUUCUUAUCUGUAAUCCUACGAGAGGGAUCAGAAGUCCAACGACAUCACCAUUAACUGUCUAAUUAAUUAAAUCACAGCAGCAACGAGAGAAGAAACCAAAAUCAGUAAAUCACAGAGUGCAGAAGACACGUGACUGCCAUGCUGCAGAAGUUAGCUCUGAGCUUCUGCCUCAGUGACUGUGAGUGGAUGCCACUGUCUUUGACUCUGAUUUUUUUUAAUGUGGGAACCAAUUAAAAUUAAGUGGACAAACUAACAUCACGGAGACUAGCUUAAUAGAUUUGCUGAGGGGAGCUCAUUGCAAAGAUCCCUGGUGACACAGAGGCAGUUACAGACAAAGUGUGAGUAAGGUGCUUUCCUUUCCUCUUGCUGUUUGUUUGCAGUCCUGAAGGGCAAGCCGGGCUUUGAACACACCCGCCCUCCAGCCCCGGUGUUUACUAAUGAGCUCUCUUACAGAUUUCCCUCCGGGAAGAAGUUCCCUUGCAGUCUGAUUUUGAGGCUUUUACAUCUACCAGCAGACAAACCUUUUUAAAAGAUAUGCAAGAUAAUGAAAAGGGCAGGGAAGCAGGGAUGGACAAACCUUAAGCUUCGUAUUUAACCGUGGCUCACAACUAAGUCAACAGGCAAGGACACGAUCAAUGUUUACUAAGCACACGGGCAUGUCAGAACUUAAUAAGUAAUCAUAUGUGGGUUAUUUCUUUAAGCAUGGCUGGCUUCAUCACUGGUAAUUUCAAAAGGUAAUAAAACAGUACAAGAAUUAGAAACACAGUGCCUACACUUUUACGCUUAGAAUGUUGAGCAGAGUCUCAAUUAUUUUUGUAUUGAUGCCUUCACAAAAAUCUUAGAAAAUGUGAGAAAAGCUAGCAAUAAAGGCAUUUAAAAGCUUCCUUUCUUCUUCCCUAAAAAAGACCACAAAUGAGGGUAACCAUGCUGCUACUUUUUUAAGAAACUGGACCUUAAGAAAGGUCAUAGCAUUUCCCAGGGUCUGCCUACAUUAGUUUACCAGGAACAAAGCUUUUUUCUAAAGUUUUUAAGAUUUAUUUAUUAUUAAUUAAUUACUUUAUUUAUUAUUGUAUAUGAUGAGUACACUGUCACUGUCUUCAGACACACCAGAAGAAGGCAUGGGAUCCCAUUACAGAUGGUUGUGAGCCACCAUGUGGGUGCUGGGAAUUGAACUCAGGACCUCUGGAAGAGCAGUCAGUGCUCUUAACCAUUGAGCCGUCUCUAAAGUUUUAAUGGUGAAAAUCUGAAAGAAGAUGCAAGCUAGGACCAACUACCAUGGAGUAAAGUACUUACCUUUUAUCUCUGAGUCAUUAAUAAUCCUGUGUCUUGGUUGAAGGCAACACAAGGUGCCUUUAUGAUUUUAGAGCACCAAUUUGAAAACUGGCAGACCCAGAUGUAAGUUCAUGUGCACAGAAAAGGAUAAAGUACGUGACCUAUCUCCUGUGAGGUGUGAUUUAGCUGUGCCGUGGCAAAGUCAACUGAUAGUUCCUUACAGUUUUGAACGGAGGCCAGGGAAGGUGAGAGAAGGGGGCAAGGGACUCUAGAGGUCAGCGUGGUUUACAAUGAACACACUCUCUUGAAAAGAGGAAAAAAGACAGAAGGAAGGAAAGAGUGGAGAGAAGAGUUGGAAUUAUAAAGGGCAUUUAAGACUCUUUUCUUGAUAUAUUUAUAACAUGCUCUCCUGAGAUUCUACAACUUGUAGAAAGACAAGAAUAUGAAGAAAGAUGAUAUGGUCUACUUUUCAACAAAAACAAAACAAAAAACCCCCCAAAGUCAUACAUUCUAUAACUGUUCCUUUUGUUUUGCUUUGUAUUUAGAGACAGAAACUUCUUCCUAUGUACCCCAGGCUUGCUUCAAAUUAAAAAUCUUCCUGCCUUCACUUACUAAAAACUGAGAUCUCAGGCUCAUGCCACGAUGCCUAGAUCUUUAAUAUGUGAAGUGUACUUCUGAUUCAGGUGAAGGAAUGAACUAACAUGUAUUUGUAAAUGACACAGUUAAAGAUCUUCCCUUGUCAUGGCUUUCAAACAUAUUCUCUAUUUUUGAGUUCUCUGUAAAGAAUUCAUAAUUUUAUGAAUUAUACAUGUAUGCAUGCAUGUGUGUGUUUGUGCUUGUACACAUGGAAACUAGAGGUUGGGUGUCAGUUGUCUUUAUCACCUUCCACCUUAAGUUUUGAGACAUGAUCUCUCAUUGAACCUGCUAAUUAAAUUAGUUAGGCUAGGUAGAGACCCUGGAUAUUCCUGUCUCUGCCUCUUCAGUACCGAAAUGAUAGGUACAGGCUGCCAUGCCUGCUUUGUACAUGGGUGCUAGGAAUCAGAAUUUACAAUACCAUGCUUGUGUUACAAGCACUUUACAAAGGAGCAAUCUGCCUGGCAUCAGGGUAAAACACAGGGGAGGAGAGAGAAGUGUCUAUGGUCUAAGCAUAUGGGGAGGCUCAGAGUUGGUGGAGAGUGUCUUCCUUAAUCACCUUCCCCCUUACAUACUGAGGCAGGGUGUCUCACUAAACUCUUUCUUACCAUUUUGGCUAGUCUGGGUAGUCAACUGGCUCCUGGGAUUCCAGGAUGUUACCAUGUCCAUCUAAGAGAUCUGAUCCAGUCCUUAUACUUGUAGAGCAAGUACUUUACCAUCUGAACCAUCUACUCAGAUCUCUGAAUUCUUUUUUUUUUUAAAAAGAUUUAUUCACUUAUUAUAUAUAAGUACACUGUAGCUGUCUUCAGAUACACCAGUAGAGGGCAUCAGAUCUCUUUACAGAUGGUUGUGAGCCACCAUGUGGUUGCUGGGAAUUGAACUCAUGACCUCUGGAAGAGCAGUCGGGUGCUCUUAACCACUAAGCCAUCUCUCCAGCCCAGAUCUCUGAAUUCUUAAUUUUAUAUUUUUAUUUUGAUCAUCUAAAACAGUUUAAGUAAACAUUUUGGAUCUAGAUGAGCUCUUUAUAAAUGUUUAUGAUACAACUAAGGAUGUAAAAUAAUUAUGAGCUGUGCUAAGCAAACAAGAAAAAUAGCAUCAUCUAUUUCAAGGUUUUCUUUUUUUUUUUUUCUUAAAUAUUUAUUUUAUGUAUAUAAGUACACUGUAGCUGUCUUCAGACACACCAGAAGAGGGCAUCAGAUCCCAUUACAGAUGGUUGUGAGCCACCAUGUGGUUGCUGGGAAUUAAACUCAGGACCUCUGGAAGAGCAGUCAGUGCUCUUAUCCACUGAGCCAUCUCUCCAGCCCCUAUUUCAAGGUUUUCAAUAGUUAACCUCAGUACUGGAGAUUAUAGUUCUGGGCAGGGUAAUUCUGUAUUCUGAGGUACUUCUUGUGCUCUGUAGAAUAUUUAACGUAUCUUCGGAUUCCACCCACUUGAUCUCAAAAAUACCACCACUUAGUUAUGGCGACCUGAAAUGUACCCAGACAACAACUCUGAAGAGCACCUGGGGAACAGGUUCUCUCCAGGCUGAUAACUACUGUGAUCAAGUAGAGUAGUGAAACAAGUCAGUCAGCAUAUACAGGAGAAGAAAUGAGAAUGGAAAAAAAAAACCAAACAAACCAACGACUCAGGCUGCAACAACUCCUCCUGCACUGAGGGUGAGAGCUGCAUCACUGAGGUAUUAAGGUCAGUAUGAAUUCCAUUAGUUUGGCACUUUCUUACACAUUUGCUUUGAUAGAAAUUCUUUCCUCUUAAAAAGUAACUGUGGGGUUGGGGAUUUAGCUCAGUGGUAGAGUGCUUGCCUAGGAAGCGCAAGGCCCUGGGUUCGGUCCCCAGCUCCGAAAAAAAAAGAACCAAAAAAAAAAAAAAAAAAGUAACUGUGAGGCCAGGGAGAUAGCCCAGCCAUCUUGUUUGGUAUGGUGGCAUCAUUCUGAAAUCCUAACACUAGCUGGGUAUCUGUGGAGGGCCAUCAUAAGAUAAAGACCAGCUUGGUCUACACAGGGAGUUCUGGGACAUUUAAAGACUAUUUGUUUGAAAGCAAUUUAACGGAAACCAUUAUUAAGACCUAAGAGGUUUGGUCCUGGGUGCUAUGAAGCAAACUAGGCAAUCCAUGAGGAAUAAGCCAGUAAGUAGCACUCUCCCACAACCUCUGUAUCAGCUGCUUCUAGGUUCCUGCCCUUACUUCCCUCGUGAUAACUGUUACCUAGGAUAUAAACCCUUUCCUCUCUAAGUUGCUCUUGGUCAAGGUGUUUCAAGUUUCCUCAUGGCAGACACUUAUUAAGACAAAGUAGCUUGUCGUUGUUAAGAUAAUGUGUCUAAUUUUAUUUUUCUUCCCGAUUUAGGUACUUUUCAAGGCAUAUAGAGUAACAAAAUGACUUACUGAUAGGAAACAGUAGACAAUAAAACUUGAAUUCUUAUAUAUGCAGAUGUUCAGAUGACCACAGUCAAGGAAAACUAUUCAGAAGUUUAACAUGUUGAGGAAUAAGGAGAAACUGACAUAAGCUCUCUCAGAUCAAUCACCAUAUUGAAAAAAAUUAGAAACUACUUAAAGCAUUACUUCAGGUUUAAGAAAUUCACAACUUACUAUGCUACUUAAAGUGGUAACAGAGUGGCAGGGAUGUUAUCUAUGUUAGGAUAGUCCCAUGGAAAAAAAAUCAAAGUAUCAGGUAUAAAAAUAAAGACUGGCUGAUACAAGAAGCCAGUCACACUCAUAAACAUCUACGAUUGUUAACAAUGAAAAGUCUUUUUCCUUGGUACCAAGUAGUCAGUUAUUUCUUACCUGUUUGUGUGCAUGAUCAUAAGAGUUGAUGUGGUUGUCAAAUUCCUGAUGUUUCUGAUACUGUUUAUCACAAAGUUCACAGUAAAAGUUGGCUCUGAGAUCUUCUAAGGCUUUUGCAAUUGCCUUUUCUUUGUCAACAUAAUCCUGUUAAGAAGCACAAAAUAAUAAUAAAAAAAACCCAAACUCAGUAGAAUUUAGACAGUCACUGCCCAAGCAGAGAGACAAAUAACUUUCCAUAACAUUCAAUGGCACCAGUAAACGCCACAUCAAACACGGGGGAUUUGGUAGGGUGACAAUUUGUGUUUGCGCUGGCAAGUGUUCAAUAGAGUGAGAUCUUAUUUUCCUUUUGGCAAUACUGUAAACAAGAUUCUGUAUCAUUUCCUACUUUGUCCUUGACCAAAAUAUAAGACACAAUUUAAUCAGGCACAGUGGUGUUGCUUGUCCAAGACAGCCCAGGCUGGCAAGAUUGCCCUGAGUUCAAAGCUAUCCUUCAGAAGUAGGUUUUUUGUUUUUUUUUUUUUCCGGAGCUAAGGACCGAACCCAGGGUCUUGUGCUUGCUAGGCAAGUGCUCUACCACUGAGGUAAAUCCCCAACCCCUAAAGCUAUCCUUAAUGCAGAGAGAUUACUAAAUUAGUCAGGGUCAUACAGCAAACAUCUGUGUCAUCAUGUCCCUCCAUUUGAUUCAUCUUUAAAAGAUACUGUUAUUUUGUUUUGAAUGUUUGUCUGCUUUUAUGUAUGUGUAAUACAUAUGUGUCAAUGCCCAGAGAAGACAAAACAGGGUGUUUAGAUUCCCUGGGAUGGAGUCAUAGGCAGUUAUGAGUUGCCAUGUAGGAACUGGAAACUAAAUCCAGGUCCUCUUCGAGAACAGUAGGUGCCUUUAACUUUUAAGCCAUCUCUCCAGUCCCAUUAUACCCCGUUUUUAGUUUUAAAUAGUGAUUGGAAUAAAGCACAUACUAAACAGGAUGAAGAGCAAUUAGAUCUAUCUAAGAGGACUCAAGGGUCAACAUAAAGAAAAAACCAAUCAGUGAAGCAUAUCCUAUUACUAAGGGGAAUGGGAUUACAUGAUCAUCUCAAUUGGUUAAGAACAAAUAAAAACCUGGCAAAAUCUAAUCUCUCUUCCAUGGUAAGAACUUCAACAAACAGGAUAGGAAAAAAAAAAAAUCCAUGAAAAGCCUCUAGCUAGCCAGCGGUGACUGACCCCUAUCCUAUCCUAUCCUAUCCUUGGAAAGCUUGGGAGGGAUAGCAUAAACUACAGCCAACCUAGAUUACAUGAGUCCAGGAAGGUUUGUUUGGACUACUUUAGUAGGACUCUGUUUCUCCCUGCCUUCCCCUCCAGUGCUCCCAACCCUUUUUACAUAGAAAAAAGAAAAAAAAAAUCAGCUAACAUCACUAUGGUGAAAGAAUUAAAGUUCCCUCUCAGAAUCAGAAACGAAGCAGAAAUAUUCACUUGUCUGCUUUGAAGAUGGGGUCUUAUACAUUCCAGGCUAGCCUCAAACUUGCUAUGUAGCCAACAUAACCUUGAACUGCACCAUCGUGUCCAGUUUAUAUAAUGCUGGGGAUCAAACUCAGGGCUUCAUUCACAUGUAGGCUUGGCAAUCACUAUACCAACGGAACCAUAUUUUCAGGCCCACUCUUGCCACUUCUGUGAGUUUGAGAAAUCACUAUUAGUUUGUUUUUGGAGAGUUGUUACAAAGCCCUAAAUGGCCUGGAACUCCCCCAGGCUGCCAGAGAUCCACCUGCUACUGCCUUCCAAAUGUUGGGAUUAAAGGAAUGAGUAUUGUUAUUUUUCUCAGAGAAAAUCAUGCUUUACCUUAUGGCUUUCAAGCUCUUUGAUUCUGGUGUAGUUUUUAGAAAAUCUUUUAUGUGCUCAGCUUGGAAGCCUUGGGUUUUCCACUUACACUUAGUACAAUAUCCACAAUACCACCACAAUCCAGGCCAGCCUGCAAUUUACUGGCCUACACUCAGGCCGACAAUCAGCUGCAUUUGUUGAUUUUGUUACUUUUUGUUGUUGCUGUAUUUUUUUAAAAAAGACUUAUUUAUUAUGCAUAUAGCAUUCUGCCUGCAUUUAAAUGGCAAUGGAGGAAAGGGCAUCAGAUCUCAUUACAGAUGGUUGUGAGCCACCAUGUGGUUGUUGAGAAUUGAACUCAGGACCUCUGGAAGAGUAGUCAGUGCUCUUAAACAGCCCCCCACCCCCCCACUCCCCCAAGCAAACUCUCUAGCCCCAUUGUCUCAAAAAACAGAGACAGAGACAUGCCUCUGGCUGUUCAGGCCUGUGCAGAACAGCCUUGAACUUACAGGCUGAGUACACCAGAGUGGAGCACUGGAAUAAAAGAUGUGUAGAGUCAUGCCAAUUUUGAUUUUACCCCCAACCCCCAGUUGCUGAAAACUUCUAGGUCUACCUUUUCUCUUUCCUUUUCUUCUAAAAAUCAAGUUUUGUAGUGAGAAUUUUGGUUUCUUUAAAGACACAGAAAUACUAUAAUAAUGUGUUUUCACUUUAAACCCAGGUGUGGGAUAUGGGGUUGCUUUAGAUGGCCCACAGCAGCUGACUAUGAUUUGCUUUCUGCCCUAAUGGUAGUUUCUGAGAUUGUGAUGUUUGGAAUUCUGGGGACUUUUCAGAGAGUGUACAUACUCGAGCUCCAAGAGGUAGAGUGGGCUGUUGGUUAGACGCUGUUAUAACUUUUGCUAAGUAGUGUGCAAAGAAGAAACAAGAAAAAUUAAAUAUCCUGACUGCAAAGACCAAACUAUUCCCAAGACACUGGAUAUCCCUAAUCAGCAGGAAGUAGUAGAAGAAUAAAAACACCCCUUUUCUCUCUCUAUUCUUUUCUCUCUCCUAUCUUCUGUUGGGGGUUGAAAGGGUGGAAGGGAAAAAGAAGUAGCCAAAAGUCUGGCUACAAAGUGUCAAGUUAGAAAUGGUUUUAUUGGGGCUGGAGGGAUGGCUCUGUGGUUAAGAGCACUGACUGCUCUUCCUAAGGUUCUGAGUUCAAUUCCUGCAACCACAUGGUGGCUCACAACCAUCUGUAAUGAGAUCUGAUGCCUUCUUUUGGUGUGCAUGAAGACAGCUACAGUGUCCUUAUACAUUAAAUAAAGAAAUCUUUUUAAAAAAUGGUUUUAUUCUAUAGCUCAUGUUUCCUAACUUUUAUAACUUCUGUUUCUAUUUUUUUUCUUGUUAUUUUGUUUUGAAACAAGGUUUCUCUGUGUUGCCUUGAAUUAAGAGUUCAGUCCUAGAAUUCUUUGUAGACCAAGCUUUCUCAAACUCAGAAAGACACUUGCCUCUCCAAUGCUGAUUAAAAUGUGUGCCACUAUGCUCAGCCUUCCUGUUUCUAUUAAACUCAUAGAGAAAAGUCAAUGGCCUAGGUUCAGUUUUUACUAACUCAGUUACCUUGGUAUGUACAACAACCAAGAGCUGAGUAUGCAGCUCAGAGGUAAAAGUCUUGCUUAGGGUGCUUAAGACUUGACCCUUGACCCCAGGGAUGGGGAUCUGCUCUUUGCUAGCUGUUCUGCUUAGAGAUUUUAGCCUUUUUUUUUUUUCUCCUUUUGUAAUGCACUCCACGAGGGCAAGGGGAUGCCUGAAGAUGCUUACUUUUUCUACUAGCCCUUCUGCAGGGCUGGGGCAUGCUAGGCUGUGGUGUUAUCAAGAGUUUAUUAGGGUCCCAGUCACAGCAGUAUUUAUUAUGUUUUCUAUACCGAAAAUAACCCCUUUUCCCCCUAAAUCUUCCCUGUGGACUUAAAAACUAAAAUCUAAAGUUUGUUAGUUGGUCAAAAUGCCACACUCAGAACAAACUCAGCACUUAGGUUACCUUAUCUGAUUUUGGUCUGUUAAUUUCUUCCUAGCCUGAUUCUCAUUCUUUUCUCUCUCUCUCUCUCAUUCAUUCAUCCAUCCACCCCCCCUUUCCCUCCCUCUCUAAAUUUUCUGAGACAUGGUUUCUCUGUGUAGCCCUGGCUGUCUUGUAACUCAGUCUGCAGACCAAGCUGGACUCAAACUCACAAGAGAUCCACCAGCUUCUGCCUGUGCCUCCUGAGUGCUGGAAUUAAAGGAAUGUAAUGCCUAGUUGCAGUUGCUCUUUAAUCUACUAUUUUUUCAGGGGUUUUGAUAGUCUAAAGAUUUUUAGCUGUAAGCCAUAAAAAGAUUCUCAGACUAGGAGAUGCAGCUCAAUGGCUGAGCAUACCCUAACACAUCUAAGGCCCUAGAUUCAAUGCUUGGUUACUUAACCAAAAAUUAAUAUAUUUUUAAAUUUUGUUUUUCUAUUUAAGGGUGUUUUGCUUGCUGUGUACUAUAGAAAUGGGGGAAAGUGAACUUUUAAUUUUACAUUAAAACAUACCCUUUAGGGCUGGAGAGAUGGCUCAGUGGUUAAGAGCACUGACUGCUUUUCCUGAGGUCCUGAAUUCAAUUCCCAUCAACCAUGUGCUGGCUCACGACCAUCUGUAAUGAGAUCUGAUGCCCUCUGCUGGUGUGUCUGAAGACAGCUACCGUGCACUCAUACAAAAUAACAUCUUGAGACCCAACAUUAAAAAGCAUACAUUUAUUGCUUAUUUUACCUGUUAUAUGAGUCUGUGAAACUAGAUCCCCUGGAAGUGGAGUUGUAGGAAGUUGUGACUUGCCGUGUUGAUUCUGGGAACAGAACUCAGGUCCUUUGUAGGAGCAGUAAGUGUUCUUAUCCUCUAAGCCAUCUAUCUCUUCAGCCUCAUAAAAUAUAUUUUUAUUAAUGUAUGUGUGUGUACUCUGUGUAUAGUGAGUAGGGGACUGGAAGAGGGCAAUGGAUUCCUUUGGAGUUGGAGUUAAAGAUGGUUAUGGGUUCUAGAAACCAGCUCAGACCCGCUAGAAUAGUUCAUAUUAUUCAUAUAGAAUAGAAUAGUCAUGCUGAACCAUAUGAACAAAAACCCAAGGUGGAUAGCACCUGAAACACAGCACAAAGUGUUGACCUCUUGCCUUCACUGACACAUGCGCUAUGUGCAGGCCAGCAGGAAGGCAGGCACGCACACACACAUGCACCAUCUAUCUGGUAAGAGACCCUGAGUAACUAGGACAUACUACCCUUUUCAAUUUGAGUGGGUGGACGUGUUAUUGUUUUAAGAUAAGUCACUCCCACUGUAGCCCAGGCUGACCUAAAACUCAUUAUGUAACUGAAGCUUGCUUUGACUUUGAGCCAGUCAUUCUUUCUCAGUUUCCUAAAUUUUUGGAUUACAGGUACAUGUUACUAUGCUGGUUCAGUACUUAAAAACAGGAAUAGGCCAGUAUGAUGGUUCAGUGGAUAAAAGCACUUGACACCAAACUUGAAUGCAAUCUGUGGGACCUACAUGGUAGGAGAGAAAUCAUUCCGUGACUGUCCUCUGACCUUCAUAGGCCUGCAUGGCAUGGACAUGGACAGACACAGAAAUGGACUUGGUCAGGCACAGAAAGACAAAGCAAAUACAUGCAAUUAAAAAUCUGUAAAAAUAUUUAAAGACACACAAUCACACACACAAACAAAGUUAUAAUAAGCUCUAAAAAGCAUCAGUCAGGUGAGACAAUCUAGAGGGAAGAGAAAGUCAACUCGUCUAGUAAUUUUGUUCCAUAAACAAAACACCUACAGUUCCUACCCAUGACUCUUCAGGUUCUAACGGGGAGCAGUGAAGGUCCCAAGUUCUUCAUGUACAAGCACUUUAGAGUCUUAACACACACAAGAUAAGCUCCAGAUUGAAAACUUUUCUGCAGUUUCUAAUUCAUUUAAAAAUGAACCUAGGUCAGGGCAGUUGGGUGGUGCAUACCUUUAAUCACAGCACUUGGGAAGCAGAGGCAGGUGAAUCUCUGAGUUCAAAGCUAGCCUGGUCUACAGAGCGAGUUCUAUUCUAAGAUAGCCAAGGCUACACAGAGAAACCUAAAACAAACAAACAAACAAACAAACAAACCAAAAAAAUCCCAAAGGAAACAAACGUAGUAAACCUAGCCAAGUGUGGUGGCACGCGCCUUUAAUCCAAGCCCUCAGGAGGCAGAGGCAGGUUGACCUCUGAGUUUGAGGGCAGUCAGGCCUUUAAAGUUGAGAUCCAGGGAUAGCCAGGGCUAGGGCUAUGGCUAUGGCUAUGGCUAUGGCCGCCACCACCACCAGACAUCACUGGAACCCCCAAACAGCAGCAAGCAUCUUCCACUCUUAUUUCAUAUGUAUGAGUGCUUGCUUGAGUGUGUCAAGGCACCACCCGCAUGAAGUUCCUAUGGAGGCUAAAGAACAUAGGAACCCUAGGGUUGGAGUCACAGAUAGUUGUGAACUCAGGUCCUCUGGAAUACAAACUGUACUCUUAACCGCUGAGCCAUCUCUCUAGACAUUAAAAAAAAAUUAAAGGGUUGGGGAUUUAGCUCAGUGGUAGAGCACUUGCCUAGCAAGCGCAAGGCCCUGGGUUCGGUCCCUAGCUCUGAAAAAAAGAAUUAAAAAAAAAAAUUAAAAGUAUUUGUUUUGUUGUGUAUAUUCAAUAUGUGUGAAGUAUACUUAAGUAUGUGAGUUCAAGGAGGUCAGAGAACAACCUGGGUUGUUAACCUCACCUCCCUCCUUGUGUGGGGAAGGUCACUGUAUGGACACGCUAGAUGGUCCCUAGCUUCCAGGGAUCAUCUUGUCACUGCCUCCUGUUUCCCCACAGGAGUACUGGGAUUACAGGCACCUAUUGCCACAUCUAGCAUCCUGUAACAUGAACUCAGGUUGUCAGGGUUUUGUAGUAGUGCUUUGCACACGGAGUGUCUGCUAAGCGUUGGUUUUUGCUUUUCUUCUUUUCCAAGUCAGUCUUAAUGCGUCGUGUCCUUAGGCACUGUCCUCAAAUUUUUGGCAGUUCUGUUGCCUCCUCUUCCUAAGGGUUUGGGAUUACAAGUGUGUGCCAUCUUGUCUAGCACCUGCUCUGCCUCUCCAAUGCCAGGAAGCCAGGCACGCGCCGCACCCCAGGGUCUCAGGAGUCCUUAUAGGUAUGCUAUCACCUCAGCCUUGGCUGCUUUUUAAUCUUUAAGUUGGUAAAAUGAUAAUUAUCUUAAUUUUACUGUAUUGUUAUCUAUCUUAACAAUGAAAGGAAAUAAUAGAUUUUUGGGUUCCAAGACUAACAAAGAUUUCUUAUGUCUCCAACUAGGACAUCACCCCUUUCUCUAUUCCAUACUACUGAGGGAAGUUUGAAUACCCGGGCUUAAUUUAUAGGCACUUCCAAGUACCGAGACUCUGAAGGACCUUUAACAGAGCUCCGACUGAGUAGGCAGACUAUGGUUCUACUUCCCCUUCACACAGUAGAAUACAAUUUUUUUCGUUUUAAAACAAAUCCCUUCUUUUUUUCCAUUUUCACCUUAAGUAUCACAACCAAAACCCAGCAGACAGAUGUCUGCUUUAGGGCUGAGUGCAAUUAACAAUGAACUAGAAAACUCUUCCUUUGCCACAGUAAACACCUUUGCUCGGGACUCGGGAGACUGCAGAGCAGAUAAGGCCGUCUGCCACCAAGCUGGAGGACCUGAGUUUGCUCUCUGGGUGGAAAGAGAGCUCUUGAAAGUUGUUCCUUGACUUCUAUGCGUACUGUGGCAUUACACAUAAAAUGAAUGCUCCCCCUCCUUAACAAAGCCGUCAUGCACUUUGUUUGUUAAAAAAGAAAGCCUCCAAGGACUCAACCACUUUUUUAUUGCUACUACCUGACCUGCUGUAUACUUCCUAGGACUAAUACUUUCAGACACUGAUGCAAUUUUCCCAGCACACAUAUGAAAUAGGUAUUUCAGUUUUUACUGAGGCAAUAAUAAAAAGAUUAUCACAACUCACUAUCAAAUGUAAACAAAUGUUGUCAGUCAAAAUGUCACCACAAAUGAAGGUUUCUUUUCUGUAUGAAUAUCUCAGACAACAAUGACUUUGUUUAUGUUACCUUGUACUUCUGUCUCAGCUCUUCUGUGUCUUCUUUUUCUACUUCUAGGACACGGCGCCGUUCGGUAGCAUCUUCGGCAUAAUCCAGCUUGACAAAAAAAGAUAUAUUUAUUCUCAUUUCCUAAAGAACCCUAGGACAGUUAUGAAAAUGUCAUCUGCACAAGCAUGAUUUUUUUUUGUUUUGUUUUGUUUUGUUUUUUUCGGAGCCGAACAAGCGUAAUGUUUGAUAGCAAUUUUUUCCUGUGUUUUUCCUCAGCUAGUUCUAGCUUUACUGUCAUAUCACAGAAAACAAAGUAUGUUCCUAAUCUCUUUCCUGAUGUUUGCCAGUACACCCACCUGCUGAUUACAAGAUUUCAGUUCAAUAGUUACUUCCAAGGAAUUAGAAUAGGAUGAAGACAAUAUUUCAGACAAUGAAACAAAGGUACUGUAGGUAAUAUAUGUAUAUAACCCUGCACGGGCAGUGCAUCUACUUUAAGCACAGAGCACUAGUGUCCAUUAAACAAGUGCCAGGGCCUGACCUGGUCUUUCUGUGCAAUACCCGAAAAUUCCUCUACGGGGCAUUAUAUACAUCCUCAGUGCUUCCACUUCAAAAACAGCACAGAAUAGAAACAUCAAAUAUACUUUUAAUUGAUCAAAGAAAAAUUAAUUAUGUUCCAUCUGGUUAAGUAUAUGCUUACACCGAUAUUUGAGUUGGAAGUUAAUGCCAAUUUUAAAUAUUCCAUAACACUAAUGUCUUAAUGAGACCAAUUUACCUCCAUUUCCAUUCGACCCAUGCCCAUGACAUCAUACUUGACAACGAUUGGAAUAGGAUCUGUUCUCCCUGUAACAGGAACACAGAAUUAAGCUGAGACAUAAAACUGGUCUAACAGUUCACUUAACAUUAGGUUUGGGAGGUUAGAUCUUGCCUUGAAGUGCAGAGACCAGAAAGCUACAGUGAACCAAACAAAAGCCAUUCUCACAGCUUCCAUCCAAUCCUUUCUUUCCUGGAUUAAACCCAACAACCCACUUUGGUUGGCCUAGUCAGAAAGAAUUCCAGAUUAUUAUGGCAAAGCUGAGUGGGGUACAUCAGAGGAAGUUCACAGUUAUAAACUUUACAAGUUCCCUUUCUUAUUUGUUUUUUAUAAGACAGGGUCUCAUGUAGUCCAGGUUGGCCUCAAACUCAUUAAGUAGGUGAGGAUGACCUUGAACUCCUGAUCCUCCUGUAUGCAAUCACAACUUUGUUUCCAAAAUCUUCCUGUCUAUCCUUUAAACUGCUUGGGGGGGGGGGUUGCAUUUCAAACAACAGACGAAAUUAUCAAUCAGUAUGUUUAACUAUUGUUUUUCAAAAAACAUUUUCCAAUCAAAAGAAAAUUUUAAAUAAAAAACGACAGCUACUUGCCCUUAAGGACAAGACUGGUUUUACUUUACAACUGAUUGUGGACGGUAAGUGGUAAGCUGUGAAAAGGACUAGUUGCGAAGAAAAUUGACUUUCAACUAAUUGAUCUAUGCUGGAGAUUUUUAAAAAGUAAAUAUAUAUUUAAUCCACUCAUAACCAGCCAAACAAAGCAAAAUGGGGCAGACAAGCACUUUACUACCACAGCUGUUUUACAUCACAACUUGCGCUGUUCAUUGUGAUGUAACAGAACAGGACUUACCUUACCCAGUGCUCACCUUCAGUGAAAAAACACAAUGUUUACUUCCCUCAUCAUCUCACUCUGACUGGUGUAAACAAUUGUUUUUUGUUUUGUUUUUCUUGUUGUUACACACACACACAUACAUAUAUAUAGAUAUAUAUAUUAUACCUUUGGGCAAGAAAUUUGAGUUUUAUCAGGCUAAAUCUUGGGUAUUAUCAAAGAAAAUAAUUUUUAAAAAUUGGUUUGUUUGAGUCCUGAAGCAUAAAAAGAAAAUUACCAGCCACACUUGUGUCUGGCCACUAUAUAUUUAUGGAAUUAAUAUUUUUCUUUGUCUUUAAACCACACAGAAAAACAAAUCCGGAAAUUUAACUACUUGUCAACAAUAUUCCAUUAUUGACACUUAGAAAUUUAAGUGCUUAUCAACGAGAUCCCAUUAUUGUUUUUAAACAAUAAAUAGGUAGAAAACGAGUAAUUAUCAUCAUAGUCUUUUUUUUUUUUUUUUUUUUGGCAAAUAAUAAAAUUGUUUGCCAGGAAAACAAACCCUUCUAGAACACAGUCUUCUAGUAGAUAUGACCAAGACUGCCAGUGGAACCAAGCACAAAUGCAGUGCUCGCCCCCUCUGCCCAAGGGUAUAAUGAGUGAGCAGUGACUGCAAUCUCUAGCAAAAGGACCAAGGUGAAGACGGGUUAUAAAAAUGACUUCCUAGGUGCAGCAUCACUUUCAUAACGUCUCAGGCAGGGAUUUACUGGUAAAGCAAACAGUCCAAUGAAACAAUUAAAAAGAACAUCAAAGAAAUUUAUUUUAGAAUCUUUUUUGAUUGGUCAAAAAUUAAUUUUGAAAGAUUCAACAAAGUUUUGGUGCCUCUGUACCAAAUUGUUUACCUCUGUAAACCCCUGUUUAUAAAUUCUGCAUUAGUACUUUUGCCUUCUAAGGCAGUCAGAGUUUAACUUAUUUAUAAAUGCAGUAGCAAGUGCUAGUGCCCAUUACACUGGGGUGGGGAAAUCAAGGUUUUCACUAUUAGAAUUUAAUAUUUUAACUGAUUCUUUUUGGCAGUUCGAACAUAUAUAUCCCUUCAUAACAUUACCCUUUAAUGAACAGGGAUCAGACAAGUUGCAUAAGGAAAGGAGAGGGAAAUGAAAAGACCAAGCAGAAGGAUGAGGCUACAACAGAGAGAGUAAGCCUAACAUAUUGGUGCACUGAUGACAAAAGGAGUAAUUCAGUCUGAAAUAAAAAUUACCACUGCUAAGUUUACCAUCACCACAACAAGUCCAGGAUCAUAAUGCUGUAAAAAAGAAACACGGUUUGUUAGGCAGAAACCAUCAGGGUAGGAAACAGGCCUUCUAGCAGGCAGACAGGACAGGGGUAAAGUACCAAUUGGGCUUUUGUCCCUCCCCCGAUUUCAGUGAGGCUGGAGGAAGGACAUUUUGUGCUACAGCAGCUGUUUUUGUACUGGUCAGAUGGGGUGUGAGAUUUUUGUACUGCUACUUGAGAACACGAACAAUCUCCUCUUCAGUAAUAACCCAGGGGUGGGGGCUGGGUCAGGAUGUCAGUCUGUUAAAGGGAGAAAACUAACUCUAGCUUCCAACCUUUCACUUAACAGACUCAUUCUGGCAAAUCAGUAUUCGGAGUCCAAGAUGGGACUCCUUAAAUAAAUCACAGUAAAAAUUAGAUGGAACCAACCAGACACCGAUCUGUUAAUUGUUUUUUCAUUAAAGAACUAUGUAAGGAGCCUAAGGAGACAGGGUUAAGACCACUUUAAAAUAACUAGAAGUCUAGAAAACAACUUUAGAUCUUUGGUGCUUAAAGAAUUGAGUGCUGUUAACGAUGAGUAAACUAAGGGGCUUAGCUCGGACCGCUGCUUCCUGUUAAAAAGACUUCAUAGAUUCCCUCACAUCUAUCCUUCUGCACAGAACUAGACCAACUCCAGGAGAAAUAACUCCAGAGAAGAAGCCUCAAAAGAGCCAUCAUUAAUAAUUUCUCUAGAGUUAACUCAGUAAAUACCCACAUUACACAACGACCUGAAGAUGAAGUUACUGCUUGCAUUAAUUAUUAUACUACAUUAUUAUGCUAUAUUAUUACACUAUAUUAUAUUACACUACAUUAUUACACUACAUUAUUAUGCUAUUAAGGAGAACACACAGGUCAAGGGAACAAAAUCACAGUGGGAAACAGACUCCAAAGAAUAUAAAUAGGAAGAGACUGCACCAUGGUUUUUUAUAAAAUCCCCUUACUUAUUUCCAAUUAAUGACUGAGCUUAUCAUGAAGAAUAUCAUUCAGAAUAACCAAAUAACAAUUUGUAACAAUCAAGUUUUUAAGCUUUUAUUAUUUGUUUUUAAUGACAGUUUUUCUGUGUAGUUUGUCCUGGAGCUCACUCUGGAGACCAGGCUGGUCUUGAACUCAUAGAAAUCCACCUGCCUUUGCCUCCCAAGUGUUGGGACUAAAAGCAUUUACCACCACCACCCGGCUUUCCUUCCUUUAAAAUUUUAUGUCUAUUGGUGUUGUACCAGUAUGUGUGUCUGUAAAGGUGUUUCAUCCUGGAGUUACAGACAGCUGUGAACCACCCACCAUGCUGAUGCUGGAAACUCAACCCAGGUCUACUGGAAGAGCAGCCAGAGCUCUAAACCACUGAACCAUCUUUCCAGCCCCAUGAUCAUUUUUUUAAAAAGGCAAACACAGGGGGUUGGGGAUUUAGCUCAAUGGUAGAGCACUUGCCUAGCAAGCUCAAGGCCCUGGGUUCAGUCCCCAGCUCCGGAAAAAAAAGAAAAGAAAAGGGAAAAAAAAAAAAAAAAAAAAAAGGCAAACACAGCAGUAGCAAAGUGUAUAUUCUCCUGAACAGCCAACUUCUUUUUAAAACAAGCUAAACUCAGUUCCUUAUUUUCAAGCAUGGAAAUUUUUAUUUAAAUUCUAUUAAAUUAUUAAGAAUAUUUUUGUUGUGUCUCUCACUGUCCCCAACUUUAAGAAAAUGAUCUGAGGCCAAUAAACUGGCUCAGGGGGUAAGGCACUUGCCCUGCAAGCUGACAGCUUGAGUCCUGGGAUCCACAUAAAGGAAGGAGAAUCUACUCCACUUCAGAACCUGCUGAGUAAGCGUACUGGACAUAGAACCUUAUUUUCUAAAUAAAGCUAAAUGAUGUUUUGCUAAUAAACUGGAAUUUGUUUCUAUAUCUAUUUAUUGUUUUGUCUUUGUAGUGGGGAGAAUAGAAUCCAUGAACUCGCAAAUGCUGUCAUUAAGCUACUCCAGUCUAAUGAUCAAUGCUUUCCUUUAUUUUGAUUGUGUCUAUGUGCUCACAUGUGUAUGUGUGUGUUUGUGCCUUGAAUGUGUACAACACUGGAAUAUAGAUGCUAGAGUUCAACCUCAGGGGUCUUCUUUGUCUUUUCACCUUAUUUUUUGAGACAAGUUCUUUCAGUGAUCCCAGAGUUUUCAGAUUGGCUAGCAGGCCUGAGAGAUUUUCUGUUUCUGUUAUUGCCAUGUUUAUAGAUAUGAACUAGGAACCCAAACUUAGAUCUGCAGAUUGAAGACACAAGUACUGUCUGAUUCAUAUACCCAGCCACCCUUAUGUAGAUAUCUUUUAAUCAAAGAACUCCAAAAAAGUCAGGCAUGGUGACUCACAUCAGGAAUUACCAGCACUUGGGAAUUAGGCUCAGGAUGAGAACUAUGGCAAAUCUGAGGCUAGCGGGGACUAAAUACACAGUGCAUUCUAAGCCAGGCAGAGCUGGAGAGCGAGAAGAAGACCUGGACUGAAAAACAAAAGCAAUGCCCACCACGACCACAACAAAGAAUGUGCUUACACAGUGACCGCAUACAUUUCAGUAAUUAAUCCAGUGUUCACUGAGUGACGUUAUUAGCUCAUCCAAAACAAAGGACUUAGGAAGAUUUAAUAACAGUCUGUAUGCUUCACUUUGAUUCUAAAGUCUGAACAGUAGAAAAUAUUUGGGGAGCUACAGAGCUAUCUGGACAAGCAAAUGGCUUCUUCAGUUGUAUCUCCUACCAUUGGUUGUGUUACAAGUGUUCUAAAACCACAAUGGUUACUAUUGCAGGAUUAUUUUAAAACCCCCAAGGACUUUCCAGCUUCCUGUAAACCACUUUCCUUGUACUUUCACAGCUGCCCACCCCAGCACACACACAUAUUUUCAUAAAUUCCUUAGCACAGAUUUUUAAGGGUUGUUCCCCUAAAAGGCUAGGCUAUAAAAGUCCAUUUCUCCAAGAGAAGACAAUCACCAAACAAUGCCUUUUUACAACCAGAGGAUGGUAUGAGUAGAUGACUAUCUUCUCUAUUUUCAAUACUGUCAUAUAGAUCAAAAGAGGUAACAAAGAAAGCAAGCUUUAUAAACACAUUACUAUUCAGAAGGCUGCUGAACACUACAAGUCAUCACAAGGAUUCAAAGCCACCUGUUUGCAUAAGUGCUUAAGAUGGCCACAGGACAACUCCCGUAUUGCUUCUUAGGUGCCAUUCAGCUUGUUUUUGGAGAAGAGCUCUCUCAUGGAGCUCACCAUGCAGUCUAGACUAGCUAGUCAGUCUAAAGGAUCUGUCUGUCUCUGCUUCCCCCACACUGGAGUUACAAAGGUGUCACAUCUAUUUUUUUGCAACCUGGGUUCUGUGGUGAGAAUGGUAAAGAUUACGGGGACUUACAAGAAAUGGACUAAAUGUGUUUUUGAUCAUGAAAUGAAAAUGUGACUUUAGGAACCAGAGUGGAAUGUUAUGAUCUAAAGUGAUGUGUUUGCAGCUGACAAAAAGCUCACUCGGCAGAGGAAAGCUUGCUGUGAAGCUGGACUAUCGGAGUUCAAUCCUUGGAACCUAUGUAAAAAGGAAAGGGAGAAGACUAACUCUACAAAGUUGUCCUGUGACCACAAACACACCAUGGCAUUCAAACACACACAUAACACUCAUGCACAGGCA